AUUGAACGCUGGCGGCAUGCUUUACACAUGCAAGUCGAACGAAGCGGCGAACGGGUGAGUAACGCGUAAUCAACCUGCCCUUCAGAGGGGGACAACAGUUGGAAACGACUGCUAAUACCGCAUACUGAAGGAGGGGUUUGCGUCUGAUUAGCUAGUUGGAGGGGUAACGGCCCACCAAGGGGGUGAUCAGUAGCCGGUCUGAGGGGAAUGACGGCCACAUUGGGACUGAGGCACGGCCCAGACUCCUACGGGGAGCAGCAGUGGGGAAUCUUCCGCAAUGGAGGAAAGUCUGACGGAGCAACGGCGCGUGGGUGGUGACAGCCUUCGGGUUGGAAAGCUCUGUUAAGCGGGACGCGGUACCGGAAUAGGAAGCCACGGCUAACUACGUGCCAGCCGCCGCGGUAAUAC
rnacentral:rRNA from 1 species